UACUUACUCCCUCCGUUCGGAAUUACUUGUCUCGGAAAUGGAUGUAUCUAGAACAAAAAUACAUCUAGAUACAUCCAUUUUCGCGACAAGUAAUUCGGAACGGAGGGAGUACAAG
rnacentral:pre_miRNA from 1 species